AUUGGGUCUUUGUUAUGUUAUUGUCAAGCCCGCUGGCGAACACGCAUUCAUCGCCAAUUAGGUUUCUCACCGUCUUCAUCGUCAGCCAUCUUGGAUACAGAUUUCGUUAACUCGACUUGACUAUUCAGUUCGAUUGGGAUCCCAUACCAACACCGAGUACAGACCUUCAUCUUCCAUUUCAGCCUCGACCUUCUAUCUUUCCAAUUUGACGGUUACAGUUAUCAGACCCCAUGUGUUGUUAAUCCCGACCAUCCACUAUCGAUUUUUUUUUUCGGAAGCUUCAAAGAGGUAUCAAACAUCGGCAGCCAUGGCUAUUAUUGAGCACCAACGUUCAGAAGAUUAUGACCCAGGCAACUAAAGCUCAGAUCCAGAUUUGGCUAUUUGAGCAGAAAUGAGGACUUAAGGAAGAAUUAAUGUAAGCAAUCAUAUUUUCUUCUGUGCUACACAUCUGUUGCUAAUGACAUAAGUAUGAACUAUGUAAUUCCUUAGUUAGUUGCCUUGGAAAAUCGAGUUUGAAUACAUGAUCAACACUAUGACUAAC